rnacentral:rRNA from 1 species
UACGAAGGGUGCAACCGUUGCUCGGAAUUAUUGGGCGUAAAGCGCACGUAGGCGGCUUUGCAAGUUCGAUGUGAAAUCCCUCGGCUCAACCAAGGAAGUGCAUCGAAAACUGCAGAGCUUGAGUACGAAAGAGGAUCGCGGAAUUCCCGGUGUAGAGGUGAAAUUCGUAGAUAUCGGGAGGAACACCAGUGGCGAAGGCGGCGAUCUGGGUCGAUACUGACGCUGAGGUGCGAAAGCGUGGGGAGCGAACAGG